rnacentral:rRNA from 1 species
UGGGGAAUAUUGGACAAUGGGCGCAAGCCUGAUCCAGCCAUGCCGCGUGGGUGAAGAAGGCCUUCGGGUUGUAAAGCCCUUUUGUUGGGGAAGAAAUCGUGCAGGUGAAUAUCCUGCGCGGAUGACGGUACCCAAAGAAUAAGCACCGGCUAACUUCGUGCCAGCAGCCGCGGUAAUACGAAGGGUGCAAGCGUUACUCGGAAUUACUGGGCGUAAAGCGUGCGUAGGCGGUUCGUUAAGUCCGUUGUGAAAGCCCUGGGCUCAACCUGGGAAUUGCAGUGGAAACUGGCGGGCUAGAGCACGGUAGAGGAUGGUGGAAUUCCCGGUGUAGCGGUGAAAUGCGUAGAGAUCGGGAGGAACACCAGUGGCGAAGGCGGCCAUCUGGACCAGUACUGACGCUGAGGCACGAAAGCGUGGGGAGCAAACA